GAUCNGCGUCAGGAUGAACGCUAGCUACAGGCUUAACACAUGCAAGUCGAGGGGCAGCGGGAUUGAAGCUUGCUUCAAUUGCCGGCGACCGGCGCACGGGUGAGUAACGCGUAUCCAACCUUCCGCUUACUCGGGGAUAGCCUUUCGAAAGAAAGAUUAAUACCCGAUGGUAUCUUAAGCACGCAUGAGAUUAAGAUUAAAGAUUUAUCGGUAAGCGAUGGGGAUGCGUUCCAUUAGG
rnacentral:rRNA from 1 species